rnacentral:lncRNA from 1 species
CGUGUUUAUUGUUGCUGCUGCUAGGGUUCAGUUGGCAGGUAACUGUUGCACUGUUUCGCAGGGUCGGCUCUUUUUGGCUCUCUCAGUUGCGUGCUUGUUAUUAAUAAACAUUUCUGUCUGGGGAGCGCCAGGAGGGGCAGGGAGGCACCGGCUCCUGCUUCACCCCAUCCUGCCCGGUGCUGCCGGAGCAAUGAACUUCCAGACCUGGCACUGGGAGCCCUCACACUGGGCAGAGCAAGUCCCAGUGGCGGGGCUGGUGCUUUCUGGUGGCGGAACACGGUGCCAAGAGGUUGCAAUGGCAGACAAUCGAGAUCGUACUGCGGCUGGGGAGAAAGGAGCGUGUGAGGGGAUUGGAAGUGGAGAGACUUCACAGGGAGCAGCCAGAGUAAAUGUACUCUGCGUCCCGUGCAGCCUGCCGGCUGGGUGAGACAUUCCGUCUGUUCCCUCCAGUUUCUGUUUUUCUCCUGAGCUCACUUUUGGACGGCUCUCGGCCUCCUUUCAUAAACUUGGCUGGAGGAGAGUCUGUGAAAACAAUGAAACGUUAGCGCCCAAGGAGAGUCCUUGUUGCCAUUCGCAGCUCUGCUUUGAUGAUUUGCCUGGCAGCAGGUGUGUGGAAGAUUACGGGCGACACCACAGAGGUGCUGCUGAAGAUAGGCUGUGCCAUCUUCUUUCCUCCUGCAUGGGAUCAGCAGCCCCUGGCUGGCUGCAGCUGUACGGAUCACAGCACAGCUGGGUCUUGGUUUCACCCAAGCUCCAUCCCAGGCUGCACACUGCGAGAGGGCACUGGCGGAGGUGGGAUCACAGCAGCCUGACAGAUCACACUGGUUGAAGUUCCCGUGCUGGGGAAGAAAAACAGCUGCUUGCUCUUCCCUGCCUGGAUCCACGGGUCUGUAAGGGCUGGGCAAUGGCCCUAGAGGGUCACUGGUGGGCUUGCAAGUAGAGGCAGCGGGCACAGAGAUGAGCGCCCAGCUCCCUGCUGUUUCACACCUGCCCAGACCUUCAUAGUAGGUGAAGCAACAAGUGGCAACUAACAGUUGGCCUGUCAUCUGCACCUGGGCCACAACUCCUUUCUUUGCUAGCCUCUCCCAUCACCAGGACUGCUUCUGUUGCCAACUACGCAGCAAACAGAGGGCCGCUGCAUUUUGCCUGAAGGGCAUCGGAGAGCCCUCAGUGUCAGCUUUCUCUGGGCGAGGUGUUUCCGUCAAGGCUUGGCCUCCCUAAUGGCAGAGCACCUGGGAAUUGGCACUGCCUCAUGCCAAAGAGAAGAUAAAACCUCAAAGGAAAAGAAAAUUAAAGGCGUUCAAAUAUGAAAACAGCAACAGAAGUUUCACAAUGGAGCUUUCCUUAUCAGAGUGAACUGCAUAAAUCUGCUUUCUGGAGCCUAUAAUAUUUCAUGGGUUUGAAACGCUGGUGGGAACCCAGCUUCUUUCUCUUUCCAUGGCCUGAUUUCUCAAGGCAGGAUGGUAACUUCUAUUGGAGCUUUCCUACAGAGGCAUGCAUGGCCCUUGGCCAGUGGUGAGCCCCAGAUCCUCUGCCACAGAACCUCACUGCUCCCCAGUGCUACCUCCAGGGGCAGGUCUGGCUGUGGCCAUCACUUUGCAUUGAGCAAUGGCUGGAAAGAGGGCUUAGCCAAAUCAAUGACUCCAGGACCAAGGGCUUCCAAUACCGAGGCAGUUAGAUCCAUCUGCUGCUUUUUGGAAAGCAGUAAAUUAUUGCUUCAUCCCCUGCUGCACACAGACACACACAAACACCCACAGACUUCACAGUCUGAAGAUCUGCUGUCUUUCUUGCUAGAAGGGCAAUUUCUACUCUCAUUUUCUAUGCUCAUUUGCCAGUAAAACCACCUCUUCUCUUACGUGAGGUUUUGAAAUAAUUCUUACAGGCAUAUAAGAGAACCUGUACUUAAAAUACCUCAAAUCUUUAUGGAACUGUACAGGGGGUUUGUUCUGCUAUUCCUCUGAAGACAAAGUGGGGCAACCAAGGCCAUGCAGGAGGUCAGCAACAGCAUCAAUGCUUGUGGCCCUCUGACUUGUCUUCCAGACCGCUAAGGAGGCUCCAAGCUGCACUGGUGUUGUGAGAACCAGAAGAAAAAAAAAAGGAUAAAGCUCUUUAAACCAAAUAAAUUAUUUUGUGACCUUUCCCGCUUUGUUGCUGAAGAAGCAGGAAUAAGAAAGGGGAGGGUAAAGAAGACGUCAGGAAAUCCAAGUGGAAAUGAAAAUAAGAAAUGGGUAGGAUUCAGCUCCCUAACCGUAGGCAAGAAGAGAUAUAUGAGAUACUUCAGGUCUCCCUUCAGCGGCAGCUUUACAAAGGCACGGUAUCUGUUAGGUCCUCCGUCAUGUCCGCAGCUGCGUGCAGACGCUGUGAAUGCUCCAGCACAUCUAGCAGGCUGCAGGCACCCUGGCUUGAGCAGCAAAACCAGCUGGGAAUAAAACAGACAUUUUCUAACAGAUGCAUGGAGUUUUAAGGGUUCAGAAAACCACCGACAUAUUUGGAAGGACUGAAAAAUAACAUUCUCCCUUGCGCAAGUGUGUGAAAAUCUCCUUACAAUCAGUGUCAAGGCAAUAACACAUGGUGUGCCAGCCCGAUUGUAUUUGCUGCCAUCUUCCUUAUAUGUGCCAUCGGCUGGCAGGCAAGUGCAGAAUAGGGGUUUCCAAAAGCUGUUCUUUUUAAUGUGAAAUUCCCUCUUGGUGUGUUGAACUCAUUUGUGCCUUCAGCUUGUAAGGUGUUAAAUACAGGAUCCUGGCCUUUCUGUGGCUUGUCCUCUCUCUUCUAUCAUACACAUGCACAUGCAUAUAUGAAGUUUAUAACUCAUCCUAGAGUUGUGUGAAAAGCAUACUUGGUGAUGCUCAUGACAAGAUAUUCACUAUUUGCCUGAAAAUCUCAUAAAUAAGCAUUUACCAUCAGCCCAAUCUAAUCUAAUCAUAAUCAAUACCGAUACUGUGAGAUCUUGUAAAACAUGACCUGCAUGGCAAGUUCUGCCACUUGCUAAUUACGCCCUUGGAGGCAGCAGUCAAUAGCUCCCAAGGGUUAGAUGGUUCCUACUUAGUCAGGUGUUUUCAGAGACUACCACUGACAUUCACUAAGGACUUGAACAACCACACAAAAACUUCAUACUAUGGCGUACAAAAUAAAAGGUGUUUGAAAGAUAGCAGGUGUUUGGAGGGUUGUUUUAAGACGAUAGGGAAACUGGCCAUAGAGCCCUGCAGAGCAGGCCUAUAGGGAACUGACAAUGUUUUUGGAAGAAAAAAAGAAGAAGAAAAGAGUGUUUUGUCCUACCCGAAACCAGCACAGCAGCCUGAACGAGCAUAUAAGUCACCCUAAGUACUACCUGCAGAUCAAUUUUCCAAACCUUUGGCUUGGGUACUUCAUUG